rnacentral:ncRNA from 1 species
GUGUUGAGGGAGAACAGAGAAGGUUUGCACUGCCCUUGACAAGGAUGCAAGAGGCCCUGGGCCUGAAACCAACAUGCACACUGUUAACAUUUACAACAAAAGCCACUU